rnacentral:rRNA from 1 species
UUCCAGACUCCUACGGGAGGCAGCAGUGGGGAAUAUUGCACAAUGGGGGAAACCCUGAUGCAGUAACGCCGCGUGAGUGAGGAAGUAUUUCGGUAUGUAAAGCUCUAUCAGCAGGGAAUAGAAAAGAAGGUACCUGAAAAAGAAGCCCCGGCUAACUACGUGCCAGCAGCCGCGGUAAUACGUAGGGGGCAAGCGUUAUCCGGAUUUACUGGGUGUAAAGGGAGCGUAGACGGCCAAGCAAGCCAGGGGUGAAAGCCCGGGGCCCAACCCCGGGACUGCCCUUGGAACUGCUUGGCUGGAGUGCGGGAGGGGCAGGCGGAAUUCCUGGUGUAGCGGUGAAAUGCGUAGAUAUCAGGAGGAACACCGGCGGCGAAGGCGGCCUGCUGGACCGCUACUGACGUUGAGGCUCGAAAGCGUGGGGAGCAAGCAGGAUUAGAUACCCGGGUAGA